rnacentral:rRNA from 1 species
AUUGAACGCUGGCGGCAGGCUUAACACAUGCAAGUCGAGCGGGGUGAUGGUGCUUGCACUAUCACUUAGCGGCGGACGGGUGAGUAAUGCUUAGGAAUCUGCCUAUUAGUGGGGGACAACAUCUCGAAAGGGAUGCUAAUACCGCAUACGUCCUACGGGAGAAAGCAGGGGAUCACUUGUGACCUUGCGCUAAUAGAUGAGCCUAAGUCGGAUUAGCUAGUUGGUGGGGUAAAGGCCUACCAAGGCGACGAUCUGUAGCGGGUCUGAGAGGAUGAUCCGCAACACUGGGACUGAGAAACGGCCCAGACUCCUACGGGAGGCAGCAGUGGGGAAUAUUGGACAAUGGGGGGAACCCUGAUCCAGCCAUGCCGCGUGUGUGAAGAAGGCCUUAUGGUUGUAAAGCACUUUAAGCGAGGAGGAGGCUCUUUUGGUUAAUACCCAAGAUGAGUGGACGUUACUCGCAGAAUAAGCACCGGCUAACUCUGUGCCAGCCGCCGCAGUAA